CGUAUCAGCCAAUGCAUUCUACAUGUCCUAGCUGCUUCUACACUGCGUCGAUCUUCUGUAAAUGCAUUAUCUGGUAUGUA
rnacentral:pre_miRNA from 1 species